rnacentral:rRNA from 1 species
GUUGGCUUAGAAGCAGCCACUCAUUUAAAGAGUGCGUAAUAGCUCACUAGUCGAGUGAUUGUGCGCCGAAAAUGUAACGGGGCUAAAAUUCAUACCGAAGCUUAGGAAUGAUAGUAAUAUUGUUGGUAGAUGAGCGUUGUGUAAGUCUGCGAAGCUACACCGAAAGGAGUAGUGGAGAUAUCACAAGUGAGAAUGCCGGAAUGAGUAGCGAGAAUUAUGUGAGAAUCAUAAUGGUCGAAAAUCUAAGGUUUCUUGAGGAAGGUUCGUCCGCUCAAGGUAAGCCGGGAGCUAAGGCGAGGCCGAGAGGCGUAGUCGAUGCACAUACGGUAAAGAUUCCGUAGCCACCGAAGUCGUUAAAUACAGGGACACAGGAACAUAGCCUAACCCCACCGUUGGUUGAGUGGGGCGUAAGGGAGCGAAAAUUAGUAGCGAAGUAGGUGAUUGUACACUGGCGAGAAAAGCUGUAUGGAUUGACAAGGUGCCCGUACCGCAAACCGACACAGGUAGAUGAGGAGAGAAUCCUAAGACCAGCGGGAGAAGUGUUGUUAAGGAACUCGGCAAAAUGACCCCGUAACUUCGGGAUAAGGGGAGCCUACGCGAGUAGGCCGCAGAGAAUAGUCUCAAGCGACUGUUUAGCAAAAACACAGGUCUAUGCUAAAUCGAAAGAUGAUGUAUAUGGGCUGACGCCUGCCCGGUGCUGGAAGGUUAAGGGGAAGUGUUAGAGUAAUCGAAGCACUGAACUUAAGCCCCAGUAAACGGCGGCCGUAACUAUAACGGUCCUAAGGUAGCGAAAUUCCUUGUCAGGUAAGUUCUGACCCGCACGAAUGGCGUAACGACUUGAGAGCUGUCUCAACAACAUACCCGGCGAAAUUGAAGUACUGGUAAAGAUGCCAGUUACCCGUGAUAAGACGGAAAGACCCCAUGGAGCUUUACUGUAACUUGAUAUUGAAUUUUUGUAUUACAUGUACAGGAUAGGUGGGAGACAGAGAACUAAUGCCGCCAGGUGUUAGGGAGUCGAUGUUGGGAUACCACUCUUGUAAUAUGAAGGUUCUAACCUGCACCCGUGAAUCCGGGUGGGGGACACUGUCAGGUGGACAGUUUGACUGGGGCGGUCGCCUCCUAAAAGGUAACGGAGGCGUUCAAAGGUUGGUUCAGCACGGACGGAAAUCGUGCAACGAGUGCAAACGCAUAAACCAGCCUAACUGCGAGACCGACAAGUCGAGCAGUAACGAAAGUUGGAGUUAGUGAUCCGGCGGUAUGAGAGUGGAAUUGCCGUCGCUCAACGGAUAAAAGCUACCCUGGGGAUAACAGGCUGAUCUCCCCCAAGAGU